AGCCACCUCUCCAUAGCCUGGUUCCUCUCUAGGUUUCUUCUUAGGUUUUGGCCUUUCUAGGGAGUUUUUCCUUGCCACCGUGCUAGGGUUAGCUAACAGGGUUAGGGUUAGGGGAAGGGUUAGCUAACAGGGUUAGGGUUAGGGGAAGGGUUAGCUAACAGGGUUAGGGUUAGGGGAAGGGUUAGCUAACAGGGUUAGGGGAAGGGUUAGCUAACAGGGUUAGGGGAAGGGUUAGCUAACAGGGUUAGGGUUAGGGGAAGGGUUAGCUAACAAGGUUAGGGUUAGCUAACAGGGUUAGGGUUAGGGGAAGGGUUAGCUAACAUGGUUAGGGUUAGGGGAAGGAUUAGCUAACAGGGUUAGGGGAAGGGUUAGCUAACAGGGUUAGGGGAAGGGUUAGCUAACAGGGUUAGGGGAAGGGUUAGCUAACAGGGUUAGGGUUAGGGGAAGGGUUAGCUAACAGGGUUAGGGGAAGGGUUAGCUAACAGGGUUAGGGUUAGGGGAAGGGUUAGCUAACAGGGUUAGGGGAAGGGUUAGCUAACAGGGUUAGGGUUAGGGGAAGGGUUAGCUAACAGGGUUAGGGUUAGGAUUAGCUAACAGGGUUAGGGUUAGGGGAGGGUUAGCUAACAGGGUUAGGGUUAGGGGAGGGUUAGCUAUAAGGGAUAAGGUUAAGGUUAGGGGAAGGGUUAGCUAACAGGGUUAGGGGAAGGGUUAGCUAACAAGGUUAGGGUUAGCUAACAGGGUUAGGGUUAGGGGAAGGGUUAGCUAACAUGGUUAGGGUUAGGGGAAGGAUUAGCUAACAGGGUUAGGGGAAGGGUUAGCUAACAGGGUUAGGGGAAGGGUUAGCUAACAGGGUUAGGGUUAGGGGAAGGGUUAGGGUUAGCUAACAGGGUUAGGGUUAGGGGAAGGGUUAGCUAACAGGGUUAGGGGAAGGGUUAGCUAACAGGGUUAGGGUUAGGGGAAGGGUUAGCUAACAUGGUUAGGGUUAGGGGAAGGGUUGGCUAACAGGGUUAGGGGAAGGGUUAGCUAACAGGGUUAGGGUUAGCUAACAGGGUUAAGGUUAGGGGAAGGAUUAGCUAACUGGGUUAGGGGAAGGGUUAGCUAACAGGGUUAGGGUUAGGGAAGGGUUAGCUAACAGGGUUAGGGUUAGCUAACAGGGUUAGGGGAAGGGUUAGCUAACAGGGUUAGGGGAAGGGUUAGCUAACAGGGUUAGGGGAAGGGUUAGCUAACAGGGUUAGGGUGGAAUAGAGUUCCAUGAAGCCAUGUCUCUAUGUAAUAUUGUGGACUAGAGUUCCAUGUAGUCAUGGCUCUAUGUAGUACUGUGCGCCUCCCACAGUCUGUUCUGGACUUGGGGACUGUGAAGAGACCUCUGGUGGCAUG